rnacentral:lncRNA from 1 species
UUGACAGAAAAAAAUUUCCUGAUCAGCCUGGCUAGGGAUUCCAGGCCUGUGUUCCUAGUUGCCCGGGUAUCUAGUCUUUUUGUUUUUAAAACUCAUGGUUUCUUGCUCCUGCUGGUGUUAGACUGUGUCAGUUCCUUUAGUGCUCCGUGUAAGGCAAGACAGGCACUGACUCCUUGAGAAGUGUGCUGAAAGGCCAGGGACAUUGGAGUCACAUUCCACUCAUCUUCUUUCCUGAGGGAGAAGUCUCAGUUCUGUACUGUUUCCAAUCUUGCAGCUCUGUGCUACCUGUAGGGGGGGUGCCCGCCCCUUUGUCUUUGUUCCAAGCUAUCCCAGUAAUCUGAGCUAUGCUGCUUCCUUCAGCACUUUGUUUGUGGUAACACAGAAACUAGCCUCUUGUGGAGCAUAUUGAAAAGCUGGGAAGCUAGGCUUAUGGUUCACCCUCUCUUUACUCCCUUUGUAGAAGUCACGGGCCAGGCAAUCUCUCUCUGUGCUGAGCUGUGCCAGUUUCAGGGAAAGGCUGAUGUGGAUAAAGUGAAAUUACUCAUAUCCAUUUCAGUGUGGCUGUUCUUGGUUUUGUGCUCAUGUGUUGUGCUGCACCUCUUUACCUACAUUGUAGACUUCUCAUAAUGGUAUUUUCAUGUAUAUAUUAUUGUUUGCUGUUUCUCUGGGGGAACUAAAUGCUGGGACUUCCUAUUCUUCCAUUUUGUGGGCAUCACUCUUUCAAAGUUUAUUUUUUAAUGUUAUGAAAGCACACGGAGGUGAUAGAAACUGUAAAUCUACUUAUACAGAGGAAACCACAGUUAAGAAAAUUAAACCUCAGCAAUGAAACAUCAAUUUCUGUUCUUACAGUUAUUAAGUAGUGCCUUACUAUUUUCUGUUAUUCUGAGCUUAAUAAUUCCUGGUGAAGUACAAUUUGAGCUCAGAUCCCAAAACUUGUUCAUUCAAAUCGGUUGUAGAAAGAAACAAUGAUGUUCCCUUAUAUAACGGGAACAGGCAUUAUUUCAUUUUUGGCUAUUAAUCUCACUCUAAAACAUAUGAAAUUAAUCUGUCAUUCUUACUUUUCUGUUUUAAUCAUAUCAAUUUGCCAAAGUGCUAAAUGUUUAUGUCUGUGUAUCCCUGUGCACACAGAGUAAAUGGGCUUCAAUUAAUAUAAUGGAAUGUUUCAGAAAAGCAAUCAGUAUCCAUAAGAUUGAGCUUAAGCUGGAAGCUUCUCAGUCCAAAUGACUGCCGUUAAAAGAAUACAGGAGCUGAAUGUCCUUGCAUUUGGCGGACUUAAGAAAGAAGGAUGCCAAACGAAUGAACUAUGACAUGAUUGAAUUUUUGCAAAUUCCUGAGAACUGUGGCAAAAUGUUUUCCUUUCAUAACCUUUGAACUGCUAAGAUCAUAAAUAAGAACUUAGAUGUUUUUUUUACCAAUUUUCCUUUUACACUACACACAAUAGAAUGUGGUUGCAUUUGGUAUGUUAUAUAUGCCAGAACUGUUGCUAACCAGUAUCUAGUGAGGGAUCGGGCAUCAGCCACCAUGUUCAUUUGCUUUAGCCUUAGAAAUACCAAGAACUGGCCUGGUGUGGUGGCUCACGCUUUUAAUCCCAGCAUUUUGGGAGGCCGAGGUGGGUGGAUCACCUGAGGUCAGGAGUUCAAGACCAACCUAGGCAACAUAGUGAAACCCUGUCUCUACUAAUAAUACAAAAAUCAGCUGGGCACGGUAGCAUGUGCCUGUAGUCCCAGCUACUUGGGAGGCUGAGCCAGGAGAAUCGCUUGAGCCCAGGAGGCAGAGAGAGACUCUGUC